rnacentral:lncRNA from 1 species
CAACAAACCCAGUGUAUUCCCACCUAGUGGGGUCUGGGGGAUAAGAUGUACGCAGUCCAUACCUCUACCUCUAAAGAAGUAGAAAGGCUGUUUCCGAUAGACCCCCGGCUCAAGGCACGAGAUACCACACAAACACAUAGUAAAGCACAGAAGCAGAUUACAUAACAUAAAUAAAUACGACACCCAUAAGUAAUAUAAAACAGAGAAAAACACACAGAUUCGUAAUAAAACAUGGAACACGGAAUCAUAACAGGCAUAAAACCCCCACCAAGUAAUUCCCUACACUAGCGACCCAAACUGGCCCUAGUCCUCUGCCCUAAUCCGCGUCCUCCAGACCUUCCUAUCUAGGNNNN